UACGUAGGGUGCAAGCGUUGUCCGGAAUUAUUGGGCGUAAAGGGUGUGUAGGUGGCGCCGUAAGUCGGGUGUGAAAUCUCGGGGCUUAACUCCGAAACUGCAUUCGAUACUGCGGUGCUUGAGGACUGGAGAGGAGACUGGAAUUCAUGGUGUAGCAGUGAAAUGCGUAGAGAUCAUGAGGAAGACCAGUGGCGAAGGCGGGUCUCUGGACAGUUCCUGACACUGAGACACGAAGGCCAGGGGAGCAAACGGG
rnacentral:rRNA from 1 species